rnacentral:rRNA from 1 species
CCUACGGGGGGCAGCAGUGGGGGAUAUUGCACAAUGGAGGAAACUCUGAUGCAGCGACGCCGCGUGAGUGAAGAAGUAUUUCGGUAUGUAAAGCUCUAUCAGCAGGGAAGAUGAUGACGGUACCUGACUAAGAAGCCCCGGCUAACUACGUGCCAGCAGCCGCGGUAAUACGUAGGGGGCAAGCGUUAUCCGGAUUUACUGGGUGUAAAGGGAGCGCAGGCGGUUUGGCAAGUUGAGAGUGGAAGCAGGGGGCUCAACCCCUUGACUGCUCCCAAAACUGUUAAACUUGAGUAUGGGAGAGGCAGGCGGAAUUCCUAGUGUAGCGGUGAAAUGCUUAGAUAUUAGGAAGAACACCGGUGGCGAAGGCGGCCUGCUGGACCAAAACUGACGCUGAGGCUCGAAAGCGUGGGUAGCAAACAGGAUUAGAUACCCGGGUAGUC